rnacentral:lncRNA from 9 species
AUGACCUAAGCACCUCUCAAAGGCCUUACCUAUUAAUACCAUCACCUUUGAGAUUCAGAUUUCAACAUAUGAGCUUAGGGGGAACACAAACAUUCAAACCAUAGCAUUAAACCAAGUCAAUCAGAAUCCUUCCCUAUGGGGUUUUCUCUUUCUUCUUAGGCUGCUCCCACCGCAUAUGGAAAUUCCCAAGCUAGUUCCCAGGCUUGGAACUACACCUGCACCUGCCAGCCUACACCACAGACAUAACAAUGAGGGAUCCAAGUCAUGUCUGCAACCUACGCCACAGCUCAGAGCAACACCAGAUCCUUAACCACUGAACAAGGCCAGGGAUUGAACCUGAGUCCACACUGGAUACUAGUUGGGUUCUUAACCUGCUGAGCCACAACAGGAACUCCCAGUUUUCUUUUGUUAACUGGUGCUGUAGGAGUUUCCGUCGUGAUACAGCAGAAACAAAUCCGACUGGGAUCCAUGAGGUGGCGGGUUCAAUCCCUGGCCUCGCUGAAUGGGUUAAGGAUCCGGCAUUGCCACGAGCUGUGGUGUAGGUCAAAGACACAGCUUGGAUCUGGCAUUACUGUGGCUCUGGGAUAGGCCAACAGCUGUAGCUCUGAUUAGACCCCUAGCCUGGGAACCUCCAUAUGCCAUGGGUGCAUCCCUAAAAAGGACAAAAAAAAAAAAAAAAGCCAAAAAAAAAAAAAUCAGUGCUGUAGAAUGAGGUUAACCCCUGCCUCAUGAAAAGAUGUGAAUUGUGGGAGUGGCUGAUGGCACAUUUCCACCCGUGUGAAGGAAGUCGAUCUUAGAAAAUGAACUGGACACCAGAGAGGAUCAGAGAGGAAACUGGAGAAGGAGAAACUUGGAAGUAUUCAAGUCCUUUCUUCCAUCAGCCUUGAGGGUCAGCUUCUCCCCUCCCUUUCCCUUUUCUUCCAACAGGUUUACCUUUUUGCCCCAGCCAAUUCAACUCCUAAUUGUUCUGCCAAAUCAGAGGGAAGCAGCAGGGCAAGCAAGAGGACCGUAUCUAAGGCUACAUUUCGUGGAGGCAGAAAAAUCAGGCCAAAGGAGCCUUUGGAUGUUACGCAGAACUCUCAGUAACUGAAGCCAGAAGUUAUCCAUGGACAGCUAUAGAGAAACAAGAGAACGGGAUUUUUUAAAUGUAAAGGUUUCGGAGAUGAUACAUGGAAAAACAAAUUCAGAAGAACAGUUUGUAUUAGUUUGAAAGCAUUCAUUUGUACUCAUGAAUUUUUAGUUACUAAAAUCUUGCUAGCUAUCCAUGUUGACUCACUUCCCUGAGAUUCAAAUUAGCACUAAUUCAUGCUCUAGUUGUUAGGAAGACUUAGAUAUGUUUAGAAAAUAUUGUACUAGAUGGGCGUAAGGGGGAAAAUAAAUCUUUUAGCUCUAUGUUCUCUUAAUGGCAGCAACUCCGCAGGCAUGUUGCCUGCACUGGGGAUCUGAUAGAGACUUUCUUGUAGAGUUUAUUGCUGAGCCAUGGUUUUCAUGUCUUGGCUUUACAGCUGGUGUUUCUUCCCUCGUCACCUGGUGUCUGCCUCCCCCUGCCAAGUGAGGGUGGUAUUGUUUUGCAGCCUUUAAGAACAAAGACAUUCCAGCUUCCACACAGUUUGAGUUGGGGAGAAUUUGCUGAUGAAAUCCAUGCUGUCCAACACAUGUCCAAGUGCAGGCAACUCUUAGUAAGAGGUCGGAGCCCCAGCUAGCUAACUUGGGAUCAGCAGAGAAUUAAGUCCAGAUCAGAAACCAAGUGGAGG